AAUUUUAUUUCUAGUGAUUGGAAUGAUGGGAAUUUAAACCCCUUUCAGAGUAACAAUUGGAGGGCAAGUCUGGUGCCAGCAGCCGCGGUAAUUCCAGCUCCAAUAGCGUAUAUUAAAGUUGUUGCAGUUAAAAAGCUCGUAGUUGGAUGUCUGCUGGAAGCAAUCAGUCCGCCCUAUUUGUAGGGUGUGCACUUGAUGAAUUCUGGCAUCUAUGUCCUAAUGUAAUACGGCGACGGUGUAUAUGGGUUAAUCCUAUAUACCCGUUUUUGUAUAUUAUAUUGGGAUAAUACCGUUACUUUGAGAAAAUUAGAGUGUUUGAAGCAGGCUAAUUGCCUUGAAUACUGCAGCAUGGAAUAACAAUAUAGGAUUUCGGUUCUAUUUUGUUGGUUUCUAGGACUGAAAUAAUGAUUAAUAGGGACAGUUGGGGGCAUUCGUAUUUAACUGUCAGAGGUGAAAUUCUUAGAUUUGUUAAAGACGAACUACUGCGAAAGCAUUUGCCAAAGAUGUUUUCAUUAAUCAAGAACGAAAG
rnacentral:rRNA from 1 species